GGGGGGGGGGGGGGGGGGGGUGAUAGGUGGAGGGGGGGGGGACAGACGAGGAGCUGGCUCCUCUGGCGUGGGCGGCGGAGGGGGGAGUAACACGUGGAUAACCUACCUAUAAGACUGGGAUAACUUCGGGAAACCGGAGCUAAUACCGGAUAAUAUAUUGAACCGCAUGGUUCAAUAGUGAAAGACGGUUUUGCUGUCACUUAUAGAUGGAUCCGCGCCGCAUUAGCUAGUUGGUAAGGUAACGGCUUACCAAGGCAACGAUGCGUAGCCGACCUGAGAGGGUGAUCGGCCACACUGGAACUGAGACACGGUCCAGACUCCUACGGGAGGCAGCAGUAGGGAAUCUUCCGCAAUGGGCGAAAGCCUGACGGAGCAACGCCGCGUGAGUGAUGAAGGUCUUCGGAUCGUAAAACUCUGUUAUUAGGGAAGAACAAAUGUGUAAGUAACUAUGCACGUCUUGACGGUACCUAAUCAGAAAGCCACGGCUAACUACGUG
rnacentral:rRNA from 1 species